UCAGCCUUGUUCAGAGGCUCGCCUUCUUCCCAGGAUCAGCAGCAAUCACCAGCCAUGAGUGAGGCUACUGCACUCACUUUCCUUUCUUUCUUUGAGUGAAAUGGGGUUUGCGAGCUAAAGACAAGGAAGAGGAAGACCGUAAGGAGAGAAUACUCAGGGAUGAGCCAUUGAAAGCAUCUGGCAGAAGAAUCUGGAACAGAGGGAGGGGCAAGACAGACCAGGAGUUUCCCAGGGCUGUCUCCCAGGCCAAGAAUUAUCUGGGCUGAGUUUCCUGGAUGGCUGUCCUAAGACCUGUAGCCACUGGGAGGAAAGCCAGGCUGAAAGCUGCACAUAUCCAGGCCUGGGCUGGGCCCCCAGAUGCUGCAGCAGCAGCCAGAACAAUGGAAUUCCCUGGGUCUGGACCCCAUCCAAGGAGGUUCACAUUUUCUGUGAAGACAGUGCUCAUAAGAACUGGCAAGGAGAGGAGAAGGCUGGAGUUCAGGGUUUCUUUGGCGCCCGCUGAGGUGUGGCUGGUGAUGCAGGGGCCACAGAGCCAGCUCAGCACCCAGUUUCCCCCAGACAACUUGACUGAUGAGCCUUGGUCACAGUAAGUUCGCUGGAGUAUUGCUUUCAGUCUGGCCAGGAGGAAUCCAGCCCAUGGCUCUGGAGUCUGGGAGAGAUGCCAGCCAGCAUGGUCCCUAGAGGGCUGCAGAACCAGAGAUGAUGUAAGCGCCUCUUGUGUCCCUAGAGUCACCUCCCCAGCUGCCUCAUCUAUCCAGAAAACCACUGAGAACCUGGAAAUGAGCAGGGAUGGCAUCUAAGCUGCCGAGAACAUGUUCCAAAUCCCAGCACUCCCACUGAGCCUCUUGCUCAGAGUGCUCCCAAGCCCAGUGCAAUCCAAGAGAACAGCCUGGGGGAGGCGGCUGCAAUAGCCACUUCCAUAGGAAGAAGAAACCAUGGUGAUGCCCUCCAGGGCAGGACAAUUAAUCGCCUGCAGGCUGCCCAGUCUGCCACUUGGUUUUGCGGAGAUGAGGGUUGUGCUGAGAGGCAGACUUGGGAUUCACAUCAGUCCUUGCCACCCACUUUGACCCCUUUGCC
rnacentral:lncRNA from 1 species